AUUGAACGCUGGCGGAAUGCUUUACACAUGCAAGUCGAGCGGCAGCGCGGGGCAACCUGGCGGCGAGCGGCGAACGGGUGAGUAAUGCAUCGGAACAUGUCCAUGUCGUGGGGGAUAGCCCGGCGAAAGCCGGAUUAAUACCGCAUACGCCCGAGAGGGGAAAGUGGGGGACCGCAAGGCCUCACGCGAUUGGGUUGGCCGAUGUCCGAUUAGCUAGUUGGCGGGGUAAGAGCCCACCAAGGCGAUGAUCGGUAGCUGGUCUGAGAGGAUGAUCAGCCACACUGGGACUGAGACACGGCCCAGACUCCUACGGGAGGCAGCAGUGGGGAAUUUUGGACAAUGGGGGCAACCCUGAUCCAGCCAUUCCGCGUGAGUGAAGAAGGCCUUCGGGUUGUAAAGCUCUUUUGUCCGGAACGAAACGGUUGCGGUGAAUAUCCGCGACUACUGACGGUACCGGAAGAAUAAGCACCGGCUAACUACGUGCCAGCAGCCGCCGUAAUAC
rnacentral:rRNA from 1 species